rnacentral:rRNA from 1 species
UACGAAGGGGGCUAGCGUUGCUCGGAAUUACUGGGCGUAAAGGGCGCGUAGGCGGCACUGUUAGUCAGGCGUGAAAUGCCAAGGCUCAACCUUGGAACUGCCUUUGAUACUGGAGACCUUGAGUCCGGGAGAGGUGAGUGGAAUUGCGAGUGUAGAGGUGAAAUUCGUAGAUAUUCGCAAGAACACCAGUGGCGAAGGCGGCUCACUGGCCCGGAACUGACGCUGAGAUGCGAAAGCGUGGGAGCAAACAGG